rnacentral:rRNA from 1 species
UGGCCUCAAAUCAGGUAG